CACGGUGGGUCGCGCAUCCACGCAGCCAUCGUGGUGGAAGUAACUCUCGCAUCCAGUACCACUCCCCGCCUCCGCCCCCGACCAUGGCAGCCUCCACGCCGCCGUCAUAACUAACAGCCACCCGCCCAACCUACCCGGAAACCCAGCCGCCCCGCACUGGCCCCGCUCCGCCCCGGGAUCGCGCGGAUCAGAUGCUAUCCCUGGGCGCCCUCCGCAAGCUCUGCGCCGCCUUCGACGCCGUCGCGCUCACCAUCAUCGCCGCCGGCCUCUCCCACCCCCGCUGCCGCCCCUUCUCCGCGCGCGCGGGCGGGCACUCCCCUCCGCCGGACUUCCCCACCAUCGCCUCCUGCCGCGCCGCGGUCGCGGCCUCCAAGCGCCGCCUCCAGGCCUCUUCGCCCCCCGCCGAGGCGCGGCCGGAAGGGCCCGCGGACGCCGAGGCGCCGGUGCUGGUCAGGAUCAAGAGCGAGCGAGACCCGGUGCGGCUGUACGAGCUGUUCAAGGCCAAUGCGGACAACCGCGUGCUGGUCGAGAACCGGUUCGCGUUCGAGGACGCGGUGGCGCGUCUGGCAGGUGCUCGACGGAAUGACCUCGUGGAGGAGAUCCUCGAGCAGCACAAGGCGCUGCCCCAGGGAAGGCGGGAGGGGUUCGUCAUCAGGAUCAUUGGCCUGUACGGGAGGGCCCGGAUGCCGGAGCACGCGCUCCGGACCUUCAGGGAGAUGGAGAUGUACGGGUGCGAGCGCACGGUCAAGUCGCUCAAUGCCACGAUGAAGGUGCUGAUGCAAGCACGGCUCUUUGAUGAGGCCCUGCAGCUGUUGGACGAGGCAUCACCCACGUACGGGGUUGAGCUGGAUGACAUUUCGUAUAACACAGUGGUGAAGAUGGCGUGCGACAUGGGGGAGCUCCAUGCAGCGUACCGGGUAAUGCAGGAGAUGGAGAAGGAAGGAGUGCGGCCAGAUGUCAUCACAUACACAACACUGAUGGCUGCGUUCUAUAAGAAUGGCCACCGUGAGGUUGGGGAUGGCCUGUGGAACCUCAUGAGGUUGAGGGGUUGCAUGCCCACGCUAACCAGUUACAAUGUAAGGAUUCAGUUCCUGAUCAACAGGAGAAGGGGCUGGCAGGCAAAUGAUCUGGUGCGGAAAAUGUAUGCAGCGGGGAUAACACCGGAUGAGAUCACAUAUAACUUGGUUAUUAAGGGAUUUUUUGUGAUAGGUGAGCAUGAGAUGGCGAAGACGGUCUUUGGUGCAAUGCAUGGGAGGGGAUGCAAGCCAAAUGAAAGGAUUUACCAGACAAUGGUACAUUACCUAUGUAAGCGAAGGGAGUUUAAUUUGGCAUUCAGAUUGUGCAAAGACAGCAUGGAGAAGAACUGGUUUCCAAGUGUCGAUACCAUUCACAAUCUGCUGAAAGGCCUUAUGGUAAUUAAAAAGGACAGGAAUGCCCGAGAGAUAAUGAAGUUGGUUGCUGAGAGAAAACCUUCCUUCUCAGUUGAUGACGUGAAGGCCUUCCAAGACAUAUUGUCUCAUGGGAAGACUGGAAGAUAAGUUGACUGCUGGACGAAAAGUUUUGCUGUAAAUGCACCACAUGUAACUCUGCCACUUUUUCCAUGCUUGAUUGGAAGGAGAAGGCAACAAAGAGAAUAAUGAAAGUGCAGAACAAUAGAAGUGGAGGGGAAUGGGAUCGCUUGGUCAUUCAAGCAGUAAUUGUUACCAGAACCAUUGUAGACGUUUCCAAAGCUCUAUCAACGUUGUUGCUUGCAGCAUUUGGGGGAAAACAAGCGUAUUGAUCAUCAAUCGCAGCGAAGUGAGCUUUCUUCUGCGCAGGUUAGCAACAGAUGGAGCAAUUUGCAGCUUCGUGCAAGCAGCAGCAUAGCCAACCAGAAAAUCAUGUUCAUAUACUGCUACUGGGACACACAUACACUGGGUACUUCUUAGUUAGUAUAUCAUGUUCAUGUCACUACAACCAUAAAUUUACGACAUUCUUUGUCCGGUUCUUCAUGUACAAAAUUUAUCAUUGACAUUAUGUUGUAUUCUCGUUGUUUCUACUAAAUCGACAUGUACGAGACAGGUGGAACAGUA